rnacentral:rRNA from 1 species
AUUGAACGCUAGCGGGAUGCUUUACACAUGCAAGUCGAACGAGUGGCGGACGGGUGAGUAAUAUAUCGGAACGUGCCCAGUAGAGGGGGAUAACUACUCGAAAGAGUGGCUAAUACCGAAUAAUAUUGGAGCGGCCGAUAUCGGAUUAGCUAGUUGGUGGGGUAAAGGCUCACAAAGGCAAAGAUCCGUAGCGGGUUUGAGAGGAAGACCAGCCACACUGGGACUGAGACACGGCCCAGACUCCUACGGGAGGCAGCAGUGGGGAAUUUUGGACAAUGGGGGAAACCCUGAUCCAGCCAUACCGCGUGUAUGAGAAGGCCUUCGGGUUGUAAAGUACUUUCAGUCGGGAGGCGUUACCGACAGAAGAAGCACCGGCUAACUCCGUGCCAGCAGCCGCGGUAAUUC